AAACGGAAAUAUCCGCGGAUUUCCGAGUGUUACGAAAUUUUCCGAAUGCAUGUCAAAAUACCAGUUUUCGAUCAGCGUAUCGCAAUACGUUUCGUUUUCAUGUCUGAACCGGUUAAUCCGUGAUAUUGC